rnacentral:rRNA from 1 species
UACGUAGGGUGCGAGCGUUGUCCGGAAUUACUGGGCGUAAAGAGCUCGUAGGCGGUCUGUCGCGUCGGAUGUGAAAAAUCCAGGGCUCAACCCUGGACCUGCAUUCGAUACGGGCAGACUAGAGUGCGGUAGGGGUGACUGGAAUUCCUGGUGUAGCGGUGGAAUGCGCAGAUAUCAGGAGGAACACCGAUGGCGAAGGCAGGUCACUGGGCCGCAACUGACGCUGAGGAGCGAAAGCAUGGGGGAGCGAACAGG